rnacentral:sRNA from 1 species
UCUGAACCCGUACUGUGAAUCUUGUAA